GCUUGGUGUGGUGGCUCACGCCUGUAAUCCCAGCACUUUGGGAGGCCGAGUUGGGUGGAUCAUGAGGUCAGGAGUUUGAGACUAGCCUGGUCAGCAUGGUGAAACCCCAUCUCUACUAAAAAUACAAAAAACUAGCCGGGCGAGGUGGCAGGCGCCCGUAGUCNGACUACGGGCGCCUGCCACCUCGCCCGGCUAGUUUUUUGUAUUUUUAGUAGAGAUGGGGUUUCACCGUGUUCGCCAGGAUGGUCUCCAUCUCCUGACCUCGUGAUCCGCCCGUCUCGG
rnacentral:SRP_RNA from 1 species